rnacentral:rRNA from 1 species
AGCGGCGGACGGGUGAGUAACGCGUGGGUAACCUGCCUCAUACAGGGGGAUAACAGUUGGAAACGGCUGCUAAUACCGCAUAAGCGCACAGUACCGCAUGGUACGGUGUGAAAAACUCCGGUGGUAUGAGAUGGACCCGCGUCUGAUUAGGUAGUUGGUGGGGUAACGGCCUACCAAGCCGACGAUCAGUAGCCGACCUGAGAGGGUGACCGGCCACAUUGGGACUGAGACGCGGCCCAA